rnacentral:rRNA from 1 species
AGAACGAACGCUGGCGGCGCGCUUAACACAUGCAAGUCGAACGAGAAGCUGUAGCAAUACAGUUGUAAAGUGGCAAACGGGUGAGUAAUGCGUGGGUAAUCUACCCUAGGGUGGGGAAUAACUCCUCGAAAGGGGAGCUAAUGCCGACAUGUGCAACACUUUCGCAAGUGAGUGUUGGAAAGCCGUACCGUGGGUGCGGCGCCCAAGGAUGAGCUCACGUCCUAUCAGCUUGUUGGCGGGGUAACGGCCCACCAAGGCUGCGACGGGUAGCUGGUCUGAGAGGACGACCAGCCACACUGGCACUGCGACACGGGCCAGACUCCUACGGGAGGCAGCAGGUGAGGAAUAUUGCGCAAUGGAACGAAAGUCUGACGCAGCGACGCCGCGGUGGGGGAUGAAGGCCGUUCGGGUUCGUAAACCCCGUUUCGAAGGAGGAAGAGUGGCUCGUCGUAAGAGAGCGGACGGUACCUCGAGAAGCAGCCACGGCUAACUCUGUCGCCAGCACG